GGGGGUGUAUCGGUUUCGACUGGCGGCAGUUCAUGCCUUCAGCUGCAGGCGGAGCGCUGACUCCUUAAACCGGCACAAACUUUAGUUGCCAAGAAAGAAGACGAAAUCGUCUCUGACGAAACAACUCUCGCUCUCGCUGCGUAAGCAACCAGAACGACUUGACCGGGGCCAGUCGGGUCCGCCCUGCUCCGGCCAUGUGACGAUCGGACCUUACCUCUCUGAUGCCUGAGUCACCGAGGGACAAUCCAUCAGGCUGGACCUGUCUGCCGCACGUCGGUCUGCGGCCUCAGGUCGAGACCCUCCUUUACACCGACUAAGCCUGUAGACGCUGUCGGGUGACCCGGCAGGACGGGGGUUCAACUCCCCCCACCUCCAUAU
rnacentral:tmRNA from 1 species